UACGGAGGGUGCAAGCGUUAUCCGGAUUUACUGGGUUUAAAGGGUGCGUAGGCGGGCCAUUAAGUCAGUGGUGAAAGCUCCGAGCUUAACUCGGAAACUGCCAUUGAUACUAUUGGUCUUGAAUUCGGUCGAGGUUGGCGGAAUGUGUCGUGUAGCGGUGAAAUGCUUAGAUAUGACACAGAACACCGAUUGCGAAGGCAGCUAGCUAGACCGACAUUGACGCUGAGAAGCGAAAGCAUGGGGAGCGAACAGG
rnacentral:rRNA from 1 species